GAGAGAGAACGGAGGCGUAUGACGUCUCAAUAAGUGUAAUUCCUACACAGUGUUUCGUGUGUUGGCAACAGGGCAUUGUACAGCUUGACCUGCUUUUCACCAUACUGAAAACUCAAUGGCCUACUAUGAUAAUGGCAGCUGACACACAUUGUACUGCUUGAGGGCUGACACUAAAAUGAAAUGAAUACACAGCUGUACAGGGUGAACCUCAGGCCACCACACAAUGUAAGGCCUGGUCUUCCCGUGGGAGCACCAGAAGCAACAGAUAUCCUGCCUGAGGUUCUCAGCCGCAGAAAGCCCAACAUUCAUCACGCGGGACUUGACUUCUGGAACAUCUGUCAUUUGGCUGCAUGCCUGGGUCACCGCUCUCGUCUGUGAUGAAUGAAUGCUAAUGGAAACUGACGUUACGGCCAUGAGAGGGCUUGCCCCCUUAUUCAACCUGCAUACCUGAAUUUAGCAUGAUUUCUAAGGUGUCCUUCACCUGUGGUAAAUUCAGGGUAGAGUACAAGCAUGUUAGUGUGUGUGAACAGACACAGUAUUUUGACCUUCAGUUAGUUUUGGUUAUGCUACGGUACUUACCCAUACAAAGGUACUGUUGCAAUCUGACUGCAAUAUUCUGUAGGGGAUGGAUCAUGUCCAAAAAUAUGUUUUUAAUUGUUUAAAUGUUUAAGCUUUUGAACUGCUUAACACAUUUCUGAAAUACAUGUCUCACGCAGUAACACAUUGGGGAAUGUUUCAAAUAACUGGAAAAUUUGGAUGUCUUGGAGAACUUCGCCAAUUGUAAUCUAUUAGUUGCACUGCCCAGUGCAAUCGUUUGAGUAUCUUUCAUUACCUUAUUUCCCCUGAGGUCGAGAAGGUCACCCUUGAGACUGCCACAUCAGUUGUGACAGACAACUGACCUAUGACCUUUCCAAGGGCUCAGUAGGAGAAUCAUGACCAUUCAUAGGAGUUAAAGCUGGUGUGAUUUUCUAAUAGAAUGACCAAAGGUGCAUUGAUACCACACCAGUAUAUGGAAUUAAAUACUGAGCCAUUCAUUCAAUUUAUUUAAUCAAAGCCAAUAAUAUGCAAACUGAAAUUCAUUUGGUGUCUUUGUUUGAGGUCUUACAACAAUAAAGCAGUAGCCUACUUGUAAAAUGUCAAGCUUCACAAUGUCCUUAAAGGGUUAGCUUGUCCACCACUGUCUGUUCAUGAGUGACACUGAGUUCAUCAAAUAAGACAAGAAAUUGUCCUCCUAGAUCCAUAUCUUUAUUUGGUUAUGGAGUAACAUUAGCUUAGUAACAUAGUCCAGUAAAUACCAAUAAAUUAAUGUCCUUAAGUUAACAUACAAGGCACUUCAUAGUCUGCCUUCUCAGUACAUGUUUGAGCUUUUAAUACCUCAUGUUCCUAGUCGCAAUCUGCGAUCUUCCCAGAGUGGUCUUCUAGUUGUCCCUAAAACAUGACUGCGUUCGCAGGGGGGGCGCGCUUUCUCGUCUUAUGCCCUUAAACUUUGGAACUCCAUUCCAAUUGACGUUAGGGAAGCAAACUCACUGUACCUUUUAAUUUCUUGUUAAAACAUUUUAUUUUCGACUAAUUUUUACUUGAUUUAUUAUUUAUACAUUCUGCUUUUUCAUGCUUCUUAGAUGUAUUUUGCGAUUUUUAUUUUGUGAUGUCAGUGUAAAGCGCCUUGAGGAAGUUCUUCUAAAGGCGCUAUACAAAAUAAAUGUAUUAUUAUUUGUGAACAUCACAUUUAUAUAUUUGCCGUGUGACACGCAAGCGCGACCUUACAUAUUGCGUAAUUAAAUCCAAAGGUCACGCAUGACAAAUGUGUGGAGAAAGAGGACCGUUCCGACGUUGUUGUAUGUGGAAUGAUGAAACAAAAGUUUCACAAAAUGCUUUCCAGGAAAUUUUUCUUCUAAAAAUAUUUAAACAUACAAAUAUAUAAAAUGAAAGAACAGACCCUCUGCUUUCAAACAAACAAUG